rnacentral:rRNA from 1 species
GGUCAAGUGAAUAAGUGCAUCAGGCGGAUGCCUUGGCGAUGAUAGGCGACGAAGGACGUGUAAGCCUGCGAAAAGCGCGGGGGAGCUGGCAAUAAAGCUAUGAUUCCGCGAUGUCCGAAUGGGGAAACCCACUGCAUUCUGUGCAGUAUCCUAAGUUGAAUACAUAGGCUUAGAGAAGCGAACCCGGAGAACUGAACCAUCUAAGUACCCGGAGGAAAAGAAAUCAACCGAGAUUCCGCAAGUAGUGGCGAGCGAACGCGGAGGAGCCUGUACGUAAUAACUGUCGAGAUAGAAGAACAAGCUGGGAAGCUUGACCAUAGCGGGUGACAGUCCCGUAUUCGAAAUCUCAACAGCGGUACUAAGCGUACGAAAAGUAGGGCGGGACACGUGAAAUCCUGUCUGAAUAUGGGGGGACCAUCCUCCAAGGCUAAAUACUCAUCAUCGACCGAUAGUGAACCAGUACCGUGAGGGAAAGGCGAAAAGAACCCCGGGAGGGGAGUGAAACAGAACCUGAAACCUGAUGCAUACAAACAGUGGGAGCGCCCUAGUGGUGUGACUGCGUACCUUUUGUAUAAUGGGUCAACGACUUACAUUCAGUAGCGAGCUUAACCGGAUAGGGGAGGCGUAGGGAAACCGAGUCUUAAUAGGGCGAUGAGUUGCUGGGUGCAGACCCGAAACCGAGUGAUCUAUCCAUGGCCAGGUUGAAGGUGCCGUAACAGGUACUGGAGGACCGAACCCACGCAUGUUGCAAAAUGCGGGGAUGAGCUGUGGGUAGGGGUGAAAGGCUAAACAAACUCGGAGAUAGCUGGUUCUCCCCGAAAACUAUUUAGGUAGUGCCUCGAGCAAGACACUGAUGGGGGUAAAGCACUGUUAUGGCUAGGGGGUUAUUGCAACUUACCAACCCAUGGCAAACUCAGAAUACCAUCAAGUGGUUCCUCGGGAGACAGACAGCGGGUGCUAACGUCCGUUGUCAAGAGGGAAACAACCCAGACCGCCGGCUAAGGUCCCAAAUGAUAGAUUAAGUGGUAAACGAAGUGGGAAGGCACAGACAGCCAGGAUGUUGGCUUAGAAGCAGCCAUCAUUUAAAGAAAGCGUAAUAGCUCACUGGUCGAGUCGUCCUGCGCGGAAGAUGUAACGGGGCUCAAAUCUAUAACCGAAGCUGCGGAUGCCGGUUUACCGGCAUGGUAGGGGAGCGUUCUGUAGGCUGAUGAAGGUGCAUUGUAAAGUGUGCUGGAGGUAUCAGAAGUGCGAAUGUUGACAUGAGUAGCGAUAAAGCGGGUGAAAAGCCCGCUCGCCGAAAGCCCAAGGUUUCCUACGCAACGUUCAUCGGCGUAGGGUGAGUCGGCCCCUAAGGCGAGGCAGAAAUGCGUAGUCGAUGGGAAACAGGUUAAUAUUCCUGUACUUGAUUCAAAUGCGAUGUGGGGACGGAGAAGGUUAGGUUGGCAAGCUGUUGGAAUAGCUUGUUUAAGCCGGUAGGUGGAAGACUUAGGCAAAUCCGGGUUUUCUUAACACCGAGAAGUGAUGACGAGUGUCUACGGACACGAAGCAACCGAUACCACGCUUCCAGGAAAAGCCACUAAGCUUCAGUUUGAAUCGAACCGUACCGCAAACCGACACAGGUGGGUAGGAUGAGAAUUCUAAGGCGCUUGAGAGAACUCGGGAGAAGGAACUCGGCAAAUUGAUACCGUAACUUCGGGAGAAGGUAUGCCCUCUAAGGUUAAGGACUUGCUCCGUAAGCCCCGGAGGGUCGCAGAGAAUAGGUGGCUGCGACUGUUUAUUAAAAACACAGCACUCUGCCAACACGAAAGUGGACGUAUAGGGUGUGACGCCUGCCCGGUGCCGGAAGGUUAAUUGAAGAUGUGCAAGCAUCGGAUCGAAGCCCCGGUAAACGGCGGCCGUAACUAUAACGGUCCUAAGGUAGCGAAAUUCCUUGUCGGGUAAGUUCCGACCCGCACGAAUGGCGUAACGAUGGCCACACUGUCUCCUCCCGAGACUCAGCGAAGUUGAAGUGGUUGUGAAGAUGCAAUCUACCCGCUGCUAGACGGAAAGACCCCGUGAACCUUUACUGUAGCUUUGCAUUGGACUUUGAAGUCACUUGUGUAGGAUAGGUGGGAGGCUUGGAAGCAGAGACGCCAGUCUCUGUGGAGUCGUCCUUGAAAUACCACCCUGGUGUCUUUGAGGUUCUAACCCAGACCCGUCAUCCGGGUCGGGGACCGUGCAUGGUAGGCAGUUUGACUGGGGCGGUCUCCUCCCAAAGCGUAACGGAGGAGUUCGAAGGUUACCUAGGUCCGGUCGGAAAUCGGACUGAUAGUGCAAUGGCAAAAGGUAGCUUAACUGCGAGACCGACAAGUCGGGCAGGUGCGAAAGCAGGACAUAGUGAUCCGGUGGUUCUGUAUGGAAGGGCCAUCGCUCAACGGAUAAAAGGUACUCCGGGGAUAACAGGCUGAUUCCGCCCAAGAGUUCAUAUCGACGGCGGAGUUUGGCACCUCGAUGUCGGCUCAUCACAUCCUGGGGCUGUAGUCGGUCCCAAGGGUAUGGCUGUUCGCCAUUUAAAGUGGUACGUGAGCUGGGUUUAAAACGUCGUGAGACAGUUUGGUCCCUAUCUGCAGUGGGCGUUGGAAGUUUGACGGGGGCUGCUCCUAGUACGAGAGGACCGGAGUGGACGAACCUCUGGUGUACCGGUUGUAACGCCAGUUGCAUAGCCGGGUAGCUAAGUUCGGAAGAGAUAAGCGCUGAAAGCAUCUAAGCGCGAAACUCGCCUGAAGAUGAGACUUCCCUUGCGGUUUAACCGCACUAAAGGGUCGUUCGAGACCAGGACGUUGAUAGGUGGGGUGUGGAAGCGCGGUAACGCGUGAAGCUAACCCAUACUAAUUGCCCGUGAGGCUUGACUCU